CACGCAGGCGGUCCGUUGAAUUAGAAGUGAAAGCCCUGGGCUCAACCCGGGAAUUGCUUUUAAGACUGGCGGACUAGAAUUCGGAAGAGGGCAGUGGAAUUCCAAGUGUAGAGGUGAAAUUCGUAGAUAUUUGGAAGAACACCAGUGGCGAAGGCGACUGCCUGGUCCGAUAUUGACGCUCAUGUGCGAAAGCGUGGGGAGCAAACAGGAUUAGAUACCCUGGUAGUCCACGCUGUAAACGAUGAGUGCUAGUUGUUGGAGUGCAUGCACUUCAGUGACGCAGCUAACGCAUUAAGCACUCCGCCUGGGGAGUACGGCCGCAAGGUUAAA
rnacentral:rRNA from 1 species